UUUUAUUUAAGAAUAUACAUUCUUUAUAGCAAUAUUCUCCUUAAAAUAAUCCAUAAUUAAGUGUAACUUUAUCUUAACUCUAAUUUCAUUUUAAUAGAGUGGCCAAAUGGGGAUGAUUAUUUGAAUUCUUCCUGUUUGUAUAUUUGGAAUUUGCGGUUAACAUAGAGUUUUUAUAACAUAGUUUCCUGGUCCACAUGUAACCAAUUUUUCAGUAUACUUUUGUUUGCAAUAUUUUUUUUUUUGCACAAUUAUGUAUAUGAUGGUUUUCUGUCUUCACUAUUGGUGAGAACUUAAGGUAAUUAUAACAGGCAUCUCAAAACAGUGGGUAAUUCUGGCAUUCUCUUUUAGGGGCUUUUAUACUACUUUUGCUGUAAUAGGAAAUUUGAAAGAAAAUGAGAAGGCAUUUCAUUUCAUUUGAAUUUCCUACUAUAUUUUCUGUAAACAUCCUAACCAUUGCCUAAAGCAUCAUUUUUACUC
rnacentral:lncRNA from 10 species